rnacentral:rRNA from 1 species
CAGCAGCCGCGGGAAUACGAACCGUGCGAACGUUAUUCGGAAUCACUGGGCUUAAAGCGCGUGUAGGCGGGCCGGCACGUCGGUCGUUGAAAUCCCCGGGCUCAACCGGGGAAGUGGCGCCGAUACGACCGGCCUGGAGGAACGUAGGGGGAGCUGGAACUUCCGGUGGAGCGGUGAAAUGCGUUGAGAUCGGAAGGAACGCCCGUGGCGAAAGCGAGCUCCUGGACGUUUUCUGACGCUGAGACGCGAAAGCCAGGGGAGCGAACGGGAUUAGAUACCCCAGUAGUCCCUGUCUCUUAUA